GACGAACGCUGGCGGCGUGCUUAACACAUGCAAGUCGAACGGAAAGGCCCUGCUUUUGUGGGGUGCUCGAGUGGCGAACGGGUGAGUAACACGUGAGUAACCUGCCCUUGACUUUGGGAUAACUUCAGGAAACUGGGGCUAAUACCGGAUAGGAGCUCCUGCUGCAUGGUGGGGGUUGGAAAGUUUCGGCGGUUGGGGAUGGACUCGCGGCUUAUCAGCUUGUUGGUGGGGUAGUGGCUUACCAAGGCUUUGACGGGAGGCGGGCUGGGGGGGGGGACCGGCCACAUUGGGACUGAGAUACGGCCCAGACUCCUACGGGGGGCAGCGGUGGGGAAUAUUGCACAAGGGGCGGAGGCCUGAUGCAGCAACGCCGGGUGCGGGAUGACGGCCUUCGGGUUGUAACCCGCUUUCGCCUGUGACGAAGCGUGAGUGACGGUAAUGGGUAAAGAAGCACCGGCUAACUACGUG
rnacentral:rRNA from 1 species